AUUGAACGCUGGCGGCAGGCUUAACACAUGCAAGUCGAGCGGGGAAGAGUAGCUUGCUACUUUACCUAGCGGCGGACGGGUGAGUAAUGCUUAGGAAUCUGCCUAUUAGUGGGGGACAACAUCUCGAAAGGGAUGCUAAUACCGCAUACGUCCUACGGGAGAAAGCAGGGGAUCUUCGGACCUUGCGCUAAUAGAUGAGCCUAAGUCGGAUUAGCUAGUUGGUGGGGUAAAGGCCUACCAAGGCGACGAUCUGUAGCGGGUCUGAGAGGAUGAUCCGCCACACUGGGACUGAGACACGGCCCAGACUCCUACGGGAGGCAGCAGUGGGGAAUAUUGGACAAUGGGCGGAAGCCUGAUCCAGCCAUGCCGCGUGUGUGAAGAAGGCCUUUUGGUUGUAAAGCACUUUAAGCGAGGAGGAGGCUACCUGGAUUAAUACUCUAGGAUAGUGGACGUUACUCGCAGAAUAAGCACCGGCUAACUCUGUGCCAGCCGCCGCAGUAAUAC
rnacentral:rRNA from 1 species